rnacentral:lncRNA from 1 species
CCUCCUCCUCUUCUUCUACUUAUUCCUCUUCUUUCUAUUAAGCUAACUAACUAACUAACCUAACUAACCAAGCUAACUAAACCUAUCGCUAAACCUAUACAACACUAAAUAGCAGAAAAAUAACAAAAACAUAAUCUACCACUAAGUAACUAAAAAAGAAUCUAGCUACCACUAAUUAACAAAACAGAAUCUACCACUAAAC